UUAGGUGUUCUAAAACUUGCAUGUAGGAUUGUGGCAAGAAGACCAAUGGCAAGCGCCCAUAGGACAGUCAAUAGACCACAAGAGACAUACCAAAGGAUGAAACUCACAGAAGAGAACAUCAGGACAAAAACCCAACGGGGCCGACCGCAUAUAUGAAUUGCUCUCUUAGCUGAUGGACGUCCACGGAUAACAGGUGUAAGAGGAGGUCUCAGUUUAGCUGCUAAAUGAGGAGAGAAUUGCCUAACAGUUCUUGUCACCUUCUCACUAAAAGUACCUGCAAAGCUGUCAUUCAGAAAUGCAAUGCUAAGUGCUGUUAAAAGAGCUGCCACUAUAGCAAGUGG
rnacentral:misc_RNA from 1 species